rnacentral:rRNA from 1 species
UACGAAGGUGGCAAGCGUUACUCGGAAUUACUAGGCGUAAAGGGCAGGUAGGCGGUUCGGUUAGUCUGUUGUGAAAGCUCCUUGCUUAACGGGGAGAGGCCAACAGAUACUGCCGAGCUUGAGUAUAGGAGAGGGUACUGGAAUUCCCGGUGUAGCGGUGAAAUGCGCAGAGAUGCGGAGGAACACCGAUGGCGAAGGCAGCCCCCUGGGCUAACACUGGCGCUCAGGCACGAAAGCGUGGGGAGCAAACAGG